rnacentral:rRNA from 1 species
CACGUAGGGGGCAAGCGUUGUCCGGAUUUAUUGGGCGUAAAGAGCUCGUAGGUGGUUCGAUAAGUCGGGUGUGAAACCUCCAGGCUCAACCUGGAGACGCCACCCGAUACUGUCGUGACUAGAGUCCAGUAGGGGAGCGUGGAAUUCCUGGUGUAGCGGUGAAAUGCGCAGAUAUCAGGAGGAACACCCGUGGCGAAGGCGGCUCUCUGGGACGGUACUGACGCUGAGACGCGAAAGCGUGGGGAGCGAACAGG